rnacentral:rRNA from 1 species
GACGAACGCUGGCGGCGUGCUUAACACAUGCAAGUCGAACGGAAAGGCCCUGCUUUUGUGGGGUGCUCGAGUGGCGAACGGGUGAGUAACACGUGAGUAACCUGCCCUUGACUUUGGGAUAACUUCAGGAAACUGGGGCUAAUACCGGAUAGGAGCUCCUGCUGCAUGGUGGGGGUUGGAAAGUUUCGGCGGUUGGGGAUGGACUCGAGGCUUAUCAGCUAGUUGGUGGGGUAGGGGCUUACCAAGGCUUUGACGGGUAGCCCGCCUUGGAGGGUGACCGGCCACAUUGGGACUGAGGUAGGGACCAGACUCCUACGGGAGGCAGCAGUGGGGAAUAUUGCACAAUGGGCGGAAGCCUGAUGCAGCAACGCCGCGUGCGGGAUGACGUCCUUCGAGUUGUAAACCGCUUUCGACUGUGACGAAGCGUGAGUGACGGUAAUGGGUAAAGAAGCAACGGCUAACUACGUG